rnacentral:lncRNA from 1 species
AAAUGAUUAAGAUAACUACAAGACUUUCCCUUAAAAGCAUUUACAAAAAAUGAGUGGGAUCUCUUUGAGCCAUUGUCAAUGUGGCACUGACUCUUGUUAUUGUGUCAGCCCUGUUACAAAAAAACGUGUUUCAGGAGCAAAUGUUAAAAACAGCAGUAGCACAAUUUGAAUAGCCUGCCCAAGUGAUUUUUUUAUCGUGCACAAGGUAAAAUUCAGCCUGGAUGAAAACAACCAAAAUGCAACAGUCACUGUGAAUCUGUGUAAUUACACUAGAAGUAUAUAGGUAUAUUUAUGUACUUUCUUGCAAACAUGCAUUUUGGUGUUCCUGCCUGACAACCUAUGAUCUACAUCUCAUUGUUUUGAGACAAAAGAAUAACUAAAAUGUAUUGUUAAGGAUUGGUGCAAUGAGUGAGGAGCUGGAGACUUCUGAAAGGAUGAAGAGGAAAAUGAUCUACACAAACUUCAUUCAGGUCUACCUCUCAAGAGAGAACUUAUCAGGUAAAAAGACAAGGAUCUGUGCUCAAUGUGUCAAAGAAGAUUAAUCAAAUCGUAUACAGUAAUAUGAGGGAUUAAAUGGGAAGAUAAGAAGAAAUAAGAAUUACAUUUGAAUGCACAUUCAAAACAUGGUCAAGAACAUUUGAUGUAGAGAUCAUUUAGAGAAACAUGUACAACUCGACCUUGUUGACAUACAAUUCUUUUUGAAAAUCUCUUUUAUACUAAAUUUCCAGAACCUGGAUGUACCAGAAACGUGAAUGGGAGUGCAGAAUGGCUGCAGAGAUACCUGGGAAAGUUUUUAGUCUAUGCAAGUCUUGAGGAUCUUAAAGAAAUGAACGCCCAUUUCAGAGCAGAAGAAGUUUUGGGUAAACUUUCACCAAACCAGAAGGCUGAGCUGAUCCUGAUCCUUGAUCCAAACAGCGGCGCUUUGCAGAAUGAGACCAUCGUACGGGAGGUGUUCAAAAGCUUGAACAAGUCCCACAAUGACGAGCAGCUCGGUCAGUUUUUCCUGGCUUUUACAGUCAUCAACAAGAAGGUGAGUGCUUGA